GACGAACGCUGGCGGCGUGCUUAACACAUGCAAGUCGAACGGAAAGGCCCUGCUUUUGUGGGGUGCUCGAGUGGCGAACGGGUGAGUAACACGUGAGUAACCUGCCCUUGACUUUGGGAUAACUUCAGGAAACUGGGGCUAAUACCGGAUAGGAGCUCCUGCCGCAUGGUGGGGGUUGGAAAGUUUCGGCGGUUGGGGAUGGACUCGCGGCUUAUCAGCUUGUUGGUGGGGUAGUGGCUUACCAAGGCUUUGACGGGUGGCCGGCCUGGGAGGGUGCCCGGCCACAUUGGGCCUGAGAUACGGCCCAGACUCCUACGGGGGGCAGCAGUGGGGAAUAUUGCACAAUGGGCGGAAGCCUGAUGCAGCAACGCCGCGUGCGGGAUGACGGCCUUCGGGUUGUAAACCGCUUUCGCCUGUGACGAAGCGUGAGUGACGGUAAUGGGUAAAGAAGCACCGGCUAACUACGUG
rnacentral:rRNA from 1 species